CCUACGUGUGGCAGCAGUGAGGAAUAUUGGUCAAUGGGCGGAAGCCUGAACCAGCCAAGUAGCGUGCAGGAUGACGGCCCUACGGGUUGUAAACUGCUUUUAUACGGGAAUAACGCGCCUUACGUGUAGGGCUUUGCAUGUACCGUAUGAAUAAGGACCGGCUAAUUCCGUGCCAGCAGCCGCGGUAAUACGGAAGGGCCGGGCGUUAUCCGGAUUUAGUGGGUUUAAAGGGAGCGUAGGCCGCAUGUCAAGCGUGCUGUGAAAUGUCCGGGCUCAACCCGGGCCUUGCAGCGCGAACUGGCGUGCUUGAGUCCGCGGAAAGCAGGCGGAAUUCGUGGUGUAGCGGUGAAAUGCUGAGAUAUGACGAAGAACCCCGAUUGCGAAGGCAGCUUGCUGGACUGCAACUGACACUGAGGCUCGAAAGUGUGGGUAUCAAACAGGAUUAGAUACCCCAGUAGUC
rnacentral:rRNA from 1 species